UACGGGGGGGGCAAGCGUUGUUCGGAAUUACUGGGCGUAAAGGGCGCGUAGGCGGUUCGCUAAGUUGAAUGUGAAAACUCUGGGCUUAACCCAGAGCCUGCAUUCAAUACUGGCGGGCUAGAGUUCUGGAGGGGAUAGCGGAAUUCCUGGUGUAGCGGUGAAAUGCGUAGAUAUCGGGAGGAACACCAGUGGCGAAGGCGACUACCUGGCCUGUUCUUGACGCUGAGGCGCGAAAGCUAGGGGAGCAACGGG
rnacentral:rRNA from 1 species